AUUGAACGCUGGCGGCAUGCCUUACACAUGCAAGUCGAACGGCAGCGCGGGGCAACCUGGCGGCGAGUGGCGAACGGGUGAGUAAUAUAUCGGAACAUACCCUAGAGUGGGGGAUAACGUAGCGAAAGUUACGCUAAUACCGCAUACGCACUAAGGUGGAAAGUGGGGGAUCUUCGGACCUCAUGCUCAUGGAGUGGCCGAUAUCUGAUUAGCUAGUUGGUGAGGUAAAGGCUCACCAAGGCGACGAUCAGUAGCUGGUUUGAGAGAACGACCAGCCACACUGGAACUGAGACACGGUCCAGACUCCUACGGGAGGCAGCAGUGGGGAAUUUUGGGACAAUGGGGGCAACCCUGAUCCAGCAAUGCCGCGUGAGUGAAGAAGGCCUUCGGGUUG
rnacentral:rRNA from 1 species